AUCGGGAUGAUAGAUGGAGAGAAGAAAGAAAUCGAGAACAUGGGUAUGACCGAGAUUUCCGUGAUAGGGGUGAGUUGAGGAUUCGAGAGUACCCAGAAAGAGGAGAUACAUGGCGGGAAAAGCGAGAUUAUGUUCCUGACAGAAUGGACUGGGAAAGAGAGCGGUUGUCAGACAGAUGGUACCCCUCUGAUGCGGAAAGACACUCCCCCAUGGCGGAACAUAUGCCAUCCUCACAUCAUUCCUCUGAAAUGAUGGGGUCCGAUGCAAACUUAGACUCUGACCAAGGCCUUGGAGGGGUAAUGGUUCUCAGUCAGAGGCAGCACGAAAUCAUUUUGAAAGCUGCACAAGAAUUGAAAAUGC
rnacentral:lncRNA from 1 species